rnacentral:lncRNA from 11 species
AUGCGAGGAGGAAGGGCCCUAUUCCACAUGAUGAGUCCUGGAUCCAUCCUCUUCCUGGGACUGCUGUCUCCAUCGUGUGUCCACCUCCUCCCCUGGUCAGGGUGCCCAGUGAUGAAGAAUCCAUCUCGAAUGAGGCCCUUCCUCCUUCCCUCUGACCUUGUUCUCCUUUCUCCUUUGCAGAACAUCAGGAAAUUAGGUAUAAAUUGUUGGAAAUGAUGUCGGGGAGGAGGUGUAUCAAAAUAUACCCCAUAAGGUAAGCCCUUCCUCCUUCUUUUCUGGUU